GGAGAUGUAGCUCAGUGGUGGAACACUUGCCUAGAAAAUGUGAGGUCUUGGGUUCAAUUCCCAGCAUCACAG
rnacentral:tRNA from 1 species